rnacentral:rRNA from 1 species
UACGUAGGAUGCGAGCGUUGUCCGGAAUUAUUGGGCGUAAAAGAGAACGUAGGCGGUUUGUUAAGUUUGGGCUUAAAGACUGGGGCUCAACCCCAGGAGUGGCUCGAAAACUGACAGACUAGAGGAUGGCAGAGGAAAGUGGAAUUCCCAGUGUAGCGGUGAAAUGCGUAGAUAUCUGGAGGAAUACCGGUGGCGAAGGCGGCAUCCUGGACCGGCAUUGACGCUGAACAGCGAAAGCUAGG